AGAUUGAACACACCUGCUCGUCUUCGCGCAGGUGUUUUUCAAUCAGCCAACAGUUCCGUGAUGUUACUUUGAAGAGAAGCUGCACCAGUUGUGGAACGUAAAAAAAAAAGACGCGAAGAAGGUGUCUGCUGCUUAACUACUUGGGGAGGUGAGAACUUGUGGCGGUAAUGCACCAACCGCCAUAAAACCUCAAAAAAGAAAGAGGGAACUUUAAAAAAGAGAAGAAAAAAAGUAAACUACCGCGGCGUGACGUCAGACGCCGAAAAGGUGGUCGCUGCAUCAGCUCCUGUAUAAAAAAUUAGCAUGGCGCUCCAGGAUGGCGUGUUCGACCUGGUCCAGAUUGGUGGCCCGUCCAGAAUGGAACAACCUGCUUCCUGCUCACGGAGACCUGGUCGGACCCGCCAUGUACAAAAGCCUGAGGCUGUCAAAAAAAGAUUGAUCUUCAUGAAGAUCGUCAAAUAGUAGGUGUCAUGCUUUAAUUCUGGGUGGCCGCUGUGUCCCCACUCUUUCUUGGCCGCUGUGCCUACAUCUCUCUGCAUUGUGCAUCAUGGCCACGUUCUUUUUAUUCUCCUGCUUUCCAUCUGUCAAAUAGCUGAGGGUUUUACAUGGAGCAUUUGCCACAGGUUGGUUUUGUAUGUUCCUGUCCACUUUAUUGGGUGGUCUGAAUUUGUAAGAUGUAAAUCUGGUCCUCGUUAGUUAUAUUUUUGUGGAACUGCUGAGCGAGUGAUUUGAAAGAAUGAGGUUACUGAUGGAGUGUUUGAAAUUCUCUCUCUGAAUGAAUGGGAUUGAGAUGCCUGGUAAGUUAAGAUGGUCUGAGAAUAUGAUUAUGUUCAGCAGUUCACAUUAAAGUAGAUAUGGUGUCUUGAAGGGCUUAGAUGCUUGAUAAGUUAUAAUGCACUAACAUUUUCUUUUUAGGUCCGUCUACAAAGGGUGAGUCCAUAUUUUUUUUAUUUCUUCUCUGGGGGCUACUGUCUUGGCCUCCAUGUGUAGUAGGGUUUGCAGAGUAGGGGAAUAAACAAAAAAAAACUUGUGUGUUGUGUAUUUUUGAAAGUGAAGGUACUUAGGUGUCGGCAACUGACUUGCUAGUCUAGCUGCCCACAGCUAACUAACUUACAUGCAAAGGUAAAAACACGCCUCUCAAUGGAGGCGUUUUCUUGCCUUGUCUCUGUGCCCUUAAACACUUUUUCUUUCCAACUGAUACGCAGGCCGCGGGCCAUCGCUCCUCCGGCCGCCGUGUCGAUCUGUCCUGGCUCUCUUGCCUUUCCUUACUUCUAAAAGUAAAAAAAUAUAUAUCAACUAGAACUGUUUUCUUUAGCAAUAAAAUAGUGAUGUUGGAGGACCAGAUCUUAAAUGAGGUUUAAAUGGAUGUUGGUGUACAGUUAAAGUUAGAUGGUAGGAAUACAAUUAAUGUUGUGCCUUGUACGCUCUGUCACAAGGCUUAGACUUCUUGGCCGUUGUGCCUUUUUUUUUUUUUCCUCUCUCUUUUCCAUCGUGGCCAUUAAUCUACUGUUAGCCCUAGAACGUUAACAUAGAUCCUGGUGAUCUACAAACACAGUACCUGGCUUUGGAUGGCAGCCAUGCCAUUGCCUUUGUAUUGCCAUACGUCCCUUAAUGCAAGUAGGCCAUGAUCGCUAACUGUGCCCGCGCCUUCAUGACCUACUUGUGUCAUUGUACGUGUGGCCUUGCGCGUAUAGUCAUUUUACAUAGACAAACAUGGGUGCCUUCCGCGUCCAUGCACAGUAAGUGAACUAACCUGUACUUUUCUUCUAGCAUCAGUCAAGAGGAGCACCGACAUCCCUGCAUGUCCAUCUUAAUUAGAUUGCGUUUUAGUUUAAAAUUUCAAAUGUUAAGUGCAGUUUUUCUUUCUUGCUUGGCCGCUGUGCCAUUACUAUACCUGCUCUGACCUGUGUGUGUGUGUGUGUGUGUGUGUGUGUGUGUGUGUGUGUGUGUGUGUGUGUGUGUGCGUGCG